GUGGGGAAUAUUGCACAAUGGGCGCAAGCCUGAUGCAGCAACGCCGCGUGAGGGAUGACGGCCUUCGGGUUGUAAACCUCUUUUAGCAGGGAAGAAGCGAAAGUGACGGUACCUGCAGAAAAAGCGCCGGCUAACUACGUGCCAGCAGCCGCGGUAAUACGUAGGGCGCAAGCGUUGUCCGGAAUUAUUGGGCGUAAAGAGCUCGUAGGCGGUUUGUCGCGUCUGCUGUGAAAUCCCGAGGCUCAACCUCGGGCCUGCAGUGGGUACGGGCAGACUAGAGUGCGGUAGGGGAGAAUGGAACUCCUGGUGUAGCGGUGGAAUGCGCAGAUAUCAGGAAGAACACCAAUGGCGAAGGCAGUUCUCUGGGCCGUAACUGACGCUGAGGAGCGAAAGCAUGGGGAGCGAACAGGAUUAGAUACCCUGGUAGUCC
rnacentral:rRNA from 1 species